GAAAAGACGCACACACGCAGACGUUCGCGAGUGUGUGUUCGUUUCGCUUCUGAUUUUCAUAGACUGGUCGCGUUGUGCCUGCAGCCAUGCUGCACCCAUGUCGUCGGCUGUUCAAUACCCUUCCGUUUGUGCCGAUGGCCCUCGGUACCCUCGACAUACUGGAACAUCGCCUGCAGGCAGCUGGGCUGGGUGGUACAACCAACACCGCUGCUACCCCCAAGUUGGGUGCGGCGCCGAGUGCCAGCAGAAACUACAGUGAGGCAGACAAGGUGGAUCAGCUUAAAUGGUUCAGCAGCAGUGUCGACGCUCCAUUCUUCAUCUCCCCCAAGCACGAUGGUGUGCGCCUCAUCUCGUACGUCCCUCCAACAACUGCAACAGAGUCCCCAUCUGCGCAGCAGGCAUCAAGUAAGACCAAGAAGACCGGCGCCACCACAGCUGCGUCGCCGCCGUUGACGACGUGCUACUCGCGCUACGGACGGCCCAUCUACGGUCUCUUCUGGAUUGAAGAGGAGCUGCGCCUCCUGCGGGCCCUCUGCGGCGAUGCCUCGCUCAUCAUCGAUGGGGAGCUGUACCUGCACCAGACCGACAUGGACGCCUCGCGAGCGGGGCAGGAAGGCCGGGAUGACGCCCCAGAUGGUACGAAGAGAAAGCCACCUAGAAAGGCGCUGCCGUCUUCCGAUGCUGACGGAGUCAACAACUUCAAUACGGGCUUUCUCGCCGUCUCUGCGCUUGUUAAUAGAUUUCGCAGCUCCACCUUCCAGUGCGCGAGCGAGGAAGGUGUCCUGAAGUACGUCCCCUCUCUGCCUCGCCUCUGCGUAUUCGAUGUUCCGUCCUACAGCCCGUGCGCAAAUCCACUGGCACCCCCCACGCGCGAUGCGCCGACCGCCAUCUCGGCAGCGUCACGUCUUCACGUCGUGACCAAAGCCUCCGUGAAGGAUGAUGAAAGCUCUCAGCAAGUCUUGGCAGAGUUGCAGCGUGUCCGCAGCAACGUUACCGAUGCACUUCGACUCAACGAUGUGGAGCAGCUUCGCAUCAUUCCCAAUGUAACACCCUUCUCGCAGCGACUCCGCACCAUGCACUACCUCUUUGAGCUGCUCUCACGCGGCAUGGGGUCGCCAGUGCUGCGGCAGCACUUCUGCCCCACAUCUGCGCGCAUGUGUAGCGCACCGACGACACGCUCCAUCCGCGACUGUCGCAAGCACACACCCAUGGCGGCACAAGUGCAGCCACCACAUAGCGGAAUCGGCCAGUACCACGGCGGACACUUUGUGUCUCGCAUCCCGUAUCAGCUCGUGAAGUCUCUCGAAGACACCACGCAGCGAGUGCUGCCCGUGUACCUUGACGCGGGCUACGAAGGCGCCGUCAUCCGCGCUCCGGUGAACACGUACGACUUCAAGGAAAAGACGAAGGGCACGCUGGCUGCAUUGGUCGCUCCACUUCUGCGGGCCACUGAAACUACGAAGACUCGUCGAGGUCGGCACCUACGUGGGACAAACGCCGGUGCAGGUGAAGCGAGUGGUCGAAGAGCUCGAAACCGCGCCGCCCUGCUACUCUCCCUAAACGCCGGACCUGUAUUAGGUGCAGCCACGCCGCUGAUGGUGCACGCGUACAGGGGCGAUGCUCCUCGUCGUGAGCCAAUGCAGCCCAUCUUGCCCUCCGAUGCCGGCCUCACUGAUGCCGAGCUGGAUGUGCUGGACGUUGUAGCCGUGGGCCGGCGGGCGAUCUUGCAAAGUGCAAAGCUGCCGCAGCGCUCGAUGACCGCUGUCAAGGUGCUCACAUACCACGAUCGCGAGUACCCCAUCCUUCGCCCGCUGCUGAAGGAGCCAUCGAAAAACCCCAGAACGCGGGAGCUGGUGUCCAUCCCACGCUCACACGUGCGUGCUCUCGGGUACUCCAUAAAACCAAGCACCGGCACGGCACUCAGCGACGGUGACGAGGCGACAACGCUGACUCCAGCCACCUCACGGUGUGGGAAGAAGGAGACGAAGAGCAUGAACCAUGCCACCACUUCCGGCGAAAGUUCGGCUGUCUUCUACGGACUUCAGUGCUUGGCUGAGAACGGACUCGUCUUCAAUGUUUCCCUGCCGAAGAUGACUCUCGCGCAACAGAACACACUGCUGCAGCACCUCCUGAGCGCGGGGCGCGACGCGAUGCGGGACGGCAGGGAGGCCGCAUCUGCCACUAUGAAGACGCUUCAUAACAGGAGGUCGAACGCCAAGGCGCCGUAUGGGGGGGCUGCACACGCGAGCCCCUCCAAGAUCGUCUCCCUCGCAGGGCUUUACGCGACAGUGAAGUUCAGCACCCUUACAGAGCACGGCCUGCCUCGCUUUGGCAGCGUCAAGGCCAUUCGCGGAGGUAAAGGGUGGUUCAUGUGACCACUUUCUUUUGGAAGUCGUAGGCGACCCAGGCGGGGGAAGGGAGAAGGGGGACGCGCGUGUGCGGAAUCUGGCGGAUCAUCGCCCUCCUC
rnacentral:misc_RNA from 1 species